GGCCGGUUAGCUCAGUUGGUUAGAGCGUGGUGCUAAUAAUGCCAAGGUCACGUGUUCAACCCCGUACUGGCCA
rnacentral:tRNA from 1 species